UACGUAGGUGGCAAGCGUUGUCCGGAUUUAUUGGGCGUAAAGGGCGCGUAGGCGGCCACGCACGUCCGUUGUGAAAUCGCCCGGCUCAACUGGGCGGGGUCAGCGGAUACGGCGUGGCUGGAGCAAGCUAGGGGGCAAUGGAAUUCCCGGUGUAGUGGUGGAAUGCGUAGAUAUCGGGAGGAACACCAGUGGCGAAGGCGGUUGCCUGGAGCUUUGCUGACGCUGAGGCGCGAAAGCGUGGGGAGCGAUCCGG
rnacentral:rRNA from 1 species